rnacentral:lncRNA from 1 species
GCUAUUGCAUCUGUUGUUCCCUAAAUUCUUUCAGUUCAAUGUCUAAAUUGAUUGAUCAAGGAAGCAAAAUCUCUUGAGAUAGAGCACUAGCUUCAGUACUCUAUACUUCUGUUCUUAUAUGGUGUAGAUUCUCUACUUUUUGGUAUACCUUUAGUAUAUGGGAGAUUUUCACGUUACUAAAAUUACUUACCUUCUCAAAAUAUAUUAUUAUAUGGACUUCUUUGUUUAUCAGGUUAUGAGGAUCUGGUUCAGCUGAGAGAGAAUGAAAACUCAGAAAGGAAUGAGACUGCAGCUAUACUUGGUGGUGGAAAAGGUAAGACGUGUUGUAACUUUUUUAUUUUUAUGUUGGUGGCGGGAAAGAAGAUAAGAUUGUGCUUGGUGAUUUUUGGAGCAUACUUUUAAUAUUCAGAUCACAUGAUGACCAAAGCAAAAUACCAGAAGUCUUGAGUGGAGGAUAAGGUCCAGAUCCAUCGGCAAAUUUUCCACCAACUUUGGCAGGGAAAUGAGUAGCUUUUGAGCUAACUUUCUUGAUCUUUAUUAAGGUACUUUCUUUUGACACAAAAACAAGAGCCAAAAAGAAAAGUUACUAAUAGAAUAUUAUUAUUAUUUUUAUUUUAUUUUUUCUAUUUCAAAAAAAAUAUUCUAUUAGUAACUUUUCUUUUUGGCUCUCGUUUUUGUGUCAAAAGAAAGUACCUUAAUAAAGAUCAAGAAAGUUAGCUCAAAAGCUACUCAUUUCCCUGCCAAAGUUGGUGGAAAAUUUGCCGAUGGAUCUGGACCUUAUCCUCCACUCAAGACUUCUGGUAUUUUGCUUUGGCCAUCAUGUGAUCUGAUGUUUGUUCUUUUUUUCUUUUUUUUUGCUUUCUUCAUGACUUAAGUUGAAAUUCUUUUGAAAGUAAAGCAAUGGGGGAUUUUAAGUCACAUCCUCAAAGUUUAACAUAACAAUGUUAAUAUUAAUUAAACAAUGGUAAAAAUGUAAGCCAGUAGUAUAAAACGUUUUUCUUUUAAUUAUCUUGACAAAUCUUAAACGAGUAGCACUUUUGUACAUCUUAAUCACAAACUUCUUCCCUUUUCUCAAGACGCUGAAUUUGAUGUCUUAACGGAUACACUCUAGCAUAAAACAGAGGAGUUCUCUUUUUAUAAUUCAGAUUCUUUCCUCUGGGUGAAUAAUUGCAGCUGAAAGUCCGGAAAGCUGCUAAUGACCCACAAAAAAUUAAAAUUAAAAUAACCUUAAUCUAUUUAAGUUCAUUCUGCAUACUAUUGUUGUUUUCUGAUGUUAACACCCACACACAAACACUUAGAAAUUUUAGAAAAUUUGGUUAAAUUUGUAAAUCAAUGAGCUCACUGUCAAAAUGGAUAGGCGGCAAUACUUCUGUUGUUCCCUAAUUUUUUUUAAUUUUUUUUGUGUAUUCAAUUUCUGGAUUCUCUCUUGCAUCUGUUGCUCCCUAAAUUCUUUCAAUUCAAUGUCUAAAUUGAUUGAUCAAGGCAGAAAAAUCUCUUGAGAUAGAGUAAUUAGCUUCAGUACUCUGUACUUCUGUUCUUAUAUGGUGUAGAUUCUCUACUUUUUGCUAUACCUCUUGUAUAUGGGAGAUUUUCACGUUACUAAAAUUAUUUACCUCAUCAAAUAUAUUAUUAUAUGUACUUCUUUGUUUAUCAGGUUAUGAGGAUCUGGUUCAGCUGAGAGAGAAAGAAAACUCAGAAAGGAAUGAGACUGCAGCUACACUUGCUGGUGGAAAAGGUAAGACUUGUUGUAACUUUUUUAUUUUUGAUGUUGGUGGCGGGGAAAGAAGGUAAGAUUGUAUUUGUUGGUUUUAGGAUUAUAAUUUUAAUAUUCUAUUAGUAACUUUUCUUUUUGGCUCUCGUUUUUGUGUCAAAAGAAAGUAACUUAAUAAAGAUCAAGAAAGUUAGCGCAGAAGCUACUCAUUUCCCUGCCAAAGUUGGUGGAAAUUUGCCGAUGGAUCUGGACCUUAUCCUCCACUCAAGACUUCUGGUAAUUUGCUUUGGUCAUCAUGUGAUCUGAUGUUUGUUCUUUUUUUCUUUUUCUUUUUUUUGCUUUCUUCAUGACUUAAGUUGAAAUUCUUUUGAAAGUAAAGCAAAGGAGGAUUUUAAGUCACGUCCUCAAAGUUUAACAUAACAAUGUUAAUAUUGAUUAAACAAUGGUAAAAAUGUAAGCCAGUAGUUUAAAACGUUUUUCGUUUAAUGAUCUUGACAAAUCUUAAAAGAGUAGCACUUAUGUACAUCUUACUCACAGGCUUCUUCCCUUUUCUCAAGACGCUGAAUUUGAUGUCUUACUGGAUACAUUCUGGCAUAAAACAGAGGUGUUCUCUGUUUAUAAUUCAGAUUCUUUCCUCUGUGUGAAUACUUGCAGCUGAAGAGUCCGGAAAGCUGCUAUUGACCCACAAAAUAUUAAAAUUAAAAUAACCUUAAUGUAUUUAAGUUCAUGCUGCAUAUUAUUAUUGUUUUCUGAUGUUAACACCCACACCAACACACACACACACUUAGAAAUUUUAGAAAAUUUGGUUAAAUUUGUAUUCAAGUCCAAUGAGCUUACUGUCGAAAUAGAUAGGUGCCAAUACUUCUGUUGUUCCCUUUUUUUUUUUUUCUAAUUCGAUUUCUGGAUUUGCUCUUGCAUCUGUUGUUCCCUAGUUUUUUUCAGUUCAAUGUCUAAAUUGCUUGAUCAAGGCAGCAAAAUCUCUUGAGAUAGAGUAAUUAGCUUCAGUACUCUAUAGUUUUGUUCUUAUAUGGCGUAGAUUCUCUACUCUUUUGUAUACCUCUUGUAUAUGGGAGAUUUUCACUUUACUAAAAUCAUUUACCUUAUCAAAAUAUAUUAUUAU